rnacentral:tRNA from 1 species
GCGGGCGUAGCUCAGUGGUAGAGUUCCAGCCUUCCAAGCUGGCUGUCAGGGGUUCAAAUCCCCUCGCCCGCUCCA